rnacentral:lncRNA from 1 species
UAAAAAUUCACUCGGUGUACCAGUACGAGCGUAAAUAUAUUCUAAACUAUCUGGAGUACUCGUCUCGAGGAUACUGCGACAGUACAAUUUUAUAACGGCUCCUAGAGCUAAAUCAGGCAGUUGAAACAAGUGACAGGUCCAAAUAACAGGCUUUCUCCUAAUUCAAAUUUCAAGUCCAACAUAUAUAAACUACUCAAUUUAUUACCACAUGCUCCAAAUUCAGAUUUGCAAUCUACCUUAUAAUCCAUGAAUUCGAGCUAGAAAAGACUAUACCAAAAAUCAAAAUUUAUGCAUGUCGACGAUUAGAACUUAGGAGUCAAAACCGAUGUAACCCACCUCGGUCGCUAAUCCCUGGCAGCACGAAACUCCCUCGGAUGCGGAACGACCCGCUGGAUCGACUGAAAAUGUCCAAGUCCUGAAAUCAAGCUAACUCCAAUUAUAAAUAUCGAAAAUCCUCAAUUCAGUCCAAAAUCCACAGAAGCAGAGUAAAACAGAGCUUCGACCAAGCUAACCUUCACCAAAUCCC